rnacentral:rRNA from 1 species
AAUAUUGCGCAAUGGAGGGAACUCUGACGCACCUACGCCGCGUGAGCGAUGAGGGUCUUCGUAUCAUAUAGCUCUGUCCUUGGGGACCAAGGCCUGCGGACUUGACGGUACCUAAGUAGGCAGCCCCGUCUCACUACCUUCCACCAGCCGCAGUAAUACGUAGGGGGCAAGUGUUGUCCGGAAUUAUUGGUCGUAAAGGGUGCGUAGGCGGCCUUUUAAGUCAGAUGUGAAAGCCCACGGCUUAACCGUGGGACUGCAUUUGAAACUGGAGGGCUUGAGUAUAGGAGAGGGUAGUGGAAUUCCCAGUGUAGCGGUGGAAUGCGUAGAUAUUGGGAGGAACACCAGUGGCGAAGGCGACUACCUGGACGAAAACUGACGCUGAGGCACGAAAGCUAGGGGAGCAAACA